GGGGUGGUGAUCUAGCUUGGUUAUGAUGCUAGCUUCGGGGGUUAGUUGACCUGGGUUCAAAUCCCAGCCACCCCA
rnacentral:tRNA from 1 species